AUAAAAAACACUUUAAAAAAGCGGUGAAAAUCGAAAAUCACUGGGCUAUUGUCUAAAUACACGUUUCACCAUAAAGGAGAAAGCAAAGUAUUUCCAUAACAUUUAAUCACGGACGCUUGAUACUGGCGUAUAUUCUAAUAGUGGUUCUUUCACCGUGUGGGAUAAUUGUUGAUUGCAGCUCAUUUGGAUCUGGGAACCAUUUUCCUGCACCUUCUGCGCGCUCAAUAAGAUGUGGUGUCGCUCUUCCGUCUGGGGGUGAUGUCAUCACUCGUCGGCCCGUCAUCCCGAGCUCUGCCUGUCCAAAUUAUUUGGCGCGUCUCUCACUGUCGAGCGGCAACGGCGUUCCACAUUCUUCUCUGGCACUUCAAGGGUUCUGUCCGGAAGGUAAGGUUGAAAGGUUCUGAAAAUAUAAACAAGAGAACACAGGGAGAAAAAAAAACGGAAUUCUGCACCUUAACAUCAGAAUGAACAAUUGGAACCAAACUGGUUUUGAUCACAAUCUCAUUACCUGAAGCUGAGAUAUUUGAAGACAUUUGAACGAGUCGGCACUUAGAAAGCGUGUUAGUUCUUUGUUUUUCAGACUUGGGACAGUGCAGUCCCUCUGGCUUUGGCGUUUUUCCUGAACUGGCAUUACUGGUCCUCUGUACUUUGUAAUUUGGUAAUUCAUAGCAUAUUUUAGCUUUUAAUGUCCACUUGAUGCCUGUGAUUGCUAUGUGAUAGAAACAUUUCACGUCUUUCUCCCUAGUAUAAAUUUGAUUUAACGUAAUUAUUUCUUGUUAUCUAAUUUUGUUUAAAUGUUUAAUUUUCUUAUUUUGUUUGGGAGUAGAGGAUGGUUUGGGGUUAAUUCUCACUUUGAAACUGUUAUGCUUUUAAAAUCCUGUUGACAUUACUGCUAAUUGUUUGAGAAAGGCAGGUAAUUGCUUUCUUUUGUAAAGUUGGAAUCAUCUGUAAAUAGUAGUCAUCAUUCUGAUGACAGAUAAUAAUUACUUUAAAAUAUGUUGCCAUGGUAUUUGAAAUUGUAAUCUUUGAGUAAUAUCUAGCAAAGUCUGAUAAUCCUUAUAGAUACAUUCCUUCUGUCUGUACUAUACAUACUGAGUGUUUACAGUGUUGGCUAAGUGUGGUGUAAAAUUACUUCCUACCUUGCAAUGGUUUUAGAAUGUGUCAAGACAUUGCCAUGACAACCAUGAAAUGAUGCAACACAACACUGAAACAUGGAGGUUGAUCCUGUGGUUAAGAUCCACGCUGCUAGGGGGAAAAGUGGGAGGUCAUGGUCGGAAACUGCGGAUCAAAUGAACCCUGCUUACCACACAGAAAAAUGCCUCACCACUGCCCCCUAGAGGACCGUGCAUUUGUGACAGCAUAACGCUGGUGGCGUACUGAAACAUCGGAGCGCAGUGACCCCCGGGAAUCGGCGAGGAUUGUUAGACGAAGGCUGGGACGUCCUCCAGACGGAUGACUUUGGCGGCCCGACGGAGCGGAGAGAGGGAGGACGGUGAAAACCCAGCGGGCCGCCGAGAGGCUCGGAGGACGUCCUCACUGCCUUCGCACGGAGGUCAGAAAACGCAUCAGUCAGAGUAACCAGGAGUCUUUAGGGGGGGAAGAAAGCGAUGAAGGCAAUUUCGGGCGGGCAUGGAAAAUUACAGCUCCCUCGAAAGACGUAAUUCAACCUGUUAUUUGGGGAGCCUGCUUCUGUGGUUAAUAAACGGUGCCACUCCCCUCACUUGCCCUUUGACCCCAACACCCCCCCCUCCCCCAUAGGAAAGCAAAAAAUAGCAGCACAAAGAAAUCAGACUAUAAGCAUAUUGCCUA